rnacentral:rRNA from 1 species
UACGGGGGGGGCAAGCGUUGUUCGGCAUUACUGGGCGUAAAGGGCUCGUAGGUGGUCAACUAAGUCGGACGUGAAAUCCCUCGGCUUAACCGGGGAACUGCGUCCGAUACUGGAUGACUUGAGUUCGGGAGAGGGAUGCGGAAUUCCAGGUGUAGCGGUGAAAUGCGUAGAUAUCUGGAGGAACACCGGUGGCGAAGGCGGCAUCCUGGACCGACACUGACGCUGAGGAGCGAAAGCCAGGGGAGCAAACGGG